CCUGCCCCUAGAAGUGUUGCAGGUGUGAUGUGAUUCUGUGUUACAUGUGUAUCGGUAGAUGGCUGAGAGGAGGGAGGCUGUGUCUCUGCUCAGUUCCGACCUGAAUCAUUCUGAAUGAUUAAUAGCCUGGGAAU